CCAUUCCUCUCUCUUCCUCCACAUCUCAGUGUAUUUAAUAUGUUAGUAUAGUGAAUAGAAAGAUUCCCCAGCUGCUCUAUAGGUCACUGUGAUGAAUUGUCAUAUUGGAUGCACAGUGUGAUAACAGGCCUAAGUGAUUGUCAGAUACACUAAUGAGGAUGAUGGAUGUUUCUAACUGAGAAGAUCACAGUUCUUUCAUCUUAAGUGUCCAACUCCGAGAGACCUGACAGAAACUUCAGACCGAGCCACGACUGAGGGCACAAUGAAUAGCAACAUUGUGUCUGAACAAUGCUUGACAAACAUGGCGGUGGCAUAAAAGCAGGAAGCUGGCAUGGCAGGCUAAGACAAAGCAGAAUGGCACCAAGACAUGCCCUGAAAGCUACACUAUAUCAAUUAUGUGAAAGACGCCUAUAACUAAACAAGACUCAGUCCAAACCGAGUAGAUGUCUGGA